rfam:Helianthus annuus linkage group 3, whole genome shotgun sequence.
UCACCGAUGCAUUUUGGGCGCAUAGGCUAUGGAGCACAUGAAAACUCCAUAGUUAACCGCGCUCUGGUGGGAGUAGUACUAGGAUGGGGGACAUCCUAGGAAGGCUCCACCUAGGGUAAC